rnacentral:rRNA from 1 species
AUGAGGUGGCCUGGGUCGGCAUCGGCACCGUCCGGUGGCCACGGGCCCGCUUCCAAGUGCGCCUGCGCACCGACCACCCACGCCAGGUCCUUCAAGUGUUGCUUCCACCGUACCAACUCCCAGGGCCACGGCCAUGGCUAGGGCCAGGGAAGCUGCCCUUCUUCGCCCCCUUCACCGGUCGCGGCCAACGCGGUGCCGCGGCACCCGGCCUCGCCGUCCUCGUCCUCCGGCACCGUCGUGACCUAG